CCUACGGGAGGCAGCAGUGAGGAAUAUUGGUCAAUGGACGAGAGUCUGAACCAGCCAAGUAGCGUGAAGGAUGACGGCCCUAUGGGUUGUAAACUUCUUUUAUAAAGGAAUAAAACGAGGCACGUGUGCCUUUUUGCAUGUACCUUAUGAAUAAGGAUAGGCUAACUCCGUGCCAGCAGCCGCGGUAAUACGGAGGAUCCGAGCGUUAUCCGGAGUUAUUGGGUUUAAAGGGAGCGUAGAUGGGUUUUUAAGUCAGUGGUGAAAGUUUGCGGCUCAACCGUAAAAUUGCAGUUGAUACUGGCAGUCUUGAGUGCAGUUGAGGUAGGCGGAAUUCGUGGUGUAGCGGUGAAAUGCUUAGAUAUCACGCAGAACCCCGAUUGCGAAGGCAGCUUACUAAACUGUAACUGACAUUGAUGCUCGAAAGUGUGGGUAUCAAACAGGAUUAGAUACCCGAGUAGUC
rnacentral:rRNA from 1 species